rnacentral:rRNA from 1 species
UACGAAGGGGCUAGCGUUGCUCGGAAUCACUGGGCGUAAAGCGCACGUAGGCGGAUUGCUAAGUCAGGGGUGAAUCCUGGAGCUCAACUCCAGAACUGCCCUUGAUACUGGCGGUCUCGAGUCGGGAGAGGUGAGUGGAACUGCGAGUGUAGAGGUGAAAAUUCGUAGAUAUUCGCAAGAACACCAGUGGCGAAGGCGGCUCACUGGCCCGGUACUGACGCUGAGGUGCGAAAGCGAGGGGAGCAACAGGG